GUGCCGGUAGCCUUCAUAGGCGCCGCUGCCGCCGCUAAUCGCUGACAGCACUUGCCCCUGCAUCCUGUAACAGGCUACCUGGGGGGUCUUUGUCUUUAUCUCAGCUGUGCUAUGGGAUCAUCUAUGGGAUGGGAGCUGCCUCGCUGGCCAAUCAGCUCGGAGUGUCGACCGAGGAAGCCGACAAUCUCAUACAGACGUUCAUGGAGACUUAUCCAGGCGUCCGAGACUUCCUGAGACGGACUGUGGACUACUGCCGGAGACACGGACACGUGGAGACAAUCACGGGCAGACGCAGGCUGCUUCCGGACAUCCUGUCCACGGACACGGGGAAACGUGCACAGGCGGAGCGCCAGGCUGUGAACUCCGUGCUCCAGGGCUCCGCUAGUGACGUGGUGAAGGCGGCCUGCGUGGCCGUGCAGGAGGAGCUACACGUGACGUCAUGUCUCCCCCCCCCCACCAGGCUGUAAACUCUGUGUGCUCCACGUGACGUCAUGUCUCUCCCCCCAGGCGGAGCGCCAGGCUGUGAACUCCGUGCUCCAGGGCUCCGCUAGUGACGUCAUGUCUCCCCCCACCAGGCUAUGAAUUCUGUGUGCUCCACGUGACGUCAUGUCUCUCCCCCCAGGCGGAGCGCCAGGCUGUGAACUCCGUGCUCCAGGGCUACGCUAGUGACGUGGUGAAGGCGGCCUGCGUGGCCGUGCAGGCGGAGCUGCACGUGACGUCAUGUCUCCCCUCCCCCUCCAGGCUGUAAACUCUGUGUACUCCGCUAGUGACGUCAUGUCUCUCCCCCCCAAGGCGGAGCGCCAGGCUGUGAACUCCGUGCUCCAGGGCUCCGCUAGUGACGUGGUGAAGGCGGCCUGCGUGGCCGUGCAGGAGGAGCUACACGUGACGUCAUGUCUCCCCUCCCCCACCAGGCUGUGAACUGUGUGCUCCGCGUGACGUCAUGUCUCCCCCCAGGCGGAGCGCCAGGCUGUGAACUCCGUGCUCCAGGGCUCCGCUAGUGACGUGGUGAAGGCGGCCUGCGUGGCCGUGCAGGCGGAGCUGGAGGCGGCCUUCCCCCUCGCCCGCCCCCCCUCACUCGCCCACCCCCCCCUCGACGGCGACAGCCACCAGGAGCUCAGAGGGGCCUACCUGGUGCUGCAGAUGCAUGACGAGCUGGUGUACGAAGUUGCGGAACGGGACCUCAUGCAGGUGUGUCACAUGGUGCGAUCCUGCAUGAUGUCUGCACUGCAUCUCUCCACCCCGCUGGCGGUGAGGCUGAGCGCCGGGCCCAGCUGGGGUCAGCUGACGGAGCUGACGGAGCUGACGGAGCUGACGGAGCCGACGGAGCCGACGGAGCCGACGGAGCUGACGGAGGCUCGCCCCUCCACGUCGUGAGCCCUCACGGGUGUCUGUGGGCAUCUGGAGCGGCGGUGCAGCGGUUAGCGCACAGCACUGCGAGCCCGGCGACCCGGG